rnacentral:tRNA from 8 species
GGGCGGUUAGCUCAGUUGGUAGAGCGCCUGCUUUACACGCAGGAUGUCGGCGGUUCGAGCCCGUCACUGCCCACCA